rnacentral:rRNA from 1 species
AACGAACGCUGGCGGCAGGCUUAACACAUGCAAGUCGAACGCCCCGCAAGGGGAGUGGCAGACGGGUGAGUAACACGUGGGAACGUGCCCUAAGGUUUGGAAUAUUCCCGGGAAACUGGGAGCAAUACCAAAUGUGUCCGUAAGGAGAAAGAUUUAUCGCCUUAGGAUCGGCCCGCGUCAGAUUAGGUAGUUGGUGGGGUAAUGGCCUACCAAGCCGACGAUCUGUAGCUGGUCUGAGAGGACGACCAGCCACACUGGGACUGAGACGCGGCCCAGACUCCUACGGGAGGCAGCAGUGGGGAAUCUUGGACAAUGGGCGCAAGCCUGAUCCAGCCAUGCCGCGUGGAUGAUGAAGGCCCUAGGGUUGUAAAAUCCUUUCGUUGGGGACGAUAAUGACGGUACCCAAAGAAGAAGCUCCGGCUAACUUCGUGCCAGCCGCCGCGGUAAAAC